GAUGAACGCUGGCGGCGUGCCUAAUACAUGCAAGUCGAACGCGAGAGGAGGGAGCUUGCUCCCUCUGAUCGAGUGGCGGACGGGUGAGUAACACGUAGGCAACCUGCCCAUCAGUCCGGGAUAACCGCGGGAAACCGUGGCUAAUACCGGAUGAUCCUCUCCACCGCGGGGUGGGGAGUUGAAAGACGGUUUCGGCUGUCGCUGUUGGAUGGGCCUGCGGCGCAUUAGCUGGUUGGCGGGGUAACGGCCCACCAAGGCAACGAUGCGUAGCCGACCUGAGAGGGUGAUCGGCCACACUGGGACUGAGCCACGGCCCAGACUCCUACGGGAGGCAGCAGUAGGGAAUCUUCCGCAAUGGACGCAAGUCUGACGGAGCAACGCCGCGUGAGCGAAGAAGGGUUUCGGCUCGUAAAACUCUGUUGUUAAGGAAGAACGACAGGUAGAGUAACUGCUACCUGUGUGACGGUACUUAACCAGAAAGCCACGGCUAACUACGUGCCAGCCGCCGCGGUAA
rnacentral:rRNA from 1 species